UAGGGAAUCUUCCACAAUGGCGCAAGCCUGAUGGAGCAACACCGCGUGAGUGAAGAAGGGUUUCGGCUCGUAAAGCUCUGUUGUUGGAGAAGAACGUGCGCGAGAGUAACUGUUCAUGCAAUGACGGUAUCCAACCAGAAAGUCACGGCUAACUACGUGCCAG
rnacentral:rRNA from 1 species